rnacentral:rRNA from 1 species
UACGGAGGGGGCGAGCGUUAUUCGGAAUUAUUGGGCGUAAAGGGCGCGUAGGCGGCCCUGCAAGUCAAAGGUGAAAUCCCUCGGCUCAACUGAGGAACUGCCUUUGAAACUGCGGGGCUUGAGGCCGGGAGGGGGUAGCGGAAUUCCCAGUGUAGCGGUGAAAUGCGUAGAUAUUGGGAGGAACACCUGUGGCGAAGGCGGCCACCUGGUUGGAUACUGACGCUGAGACGCGAAAGCGUGGGGAGCAAACAGG